rnacentral:rRNA from 1 species
UACCAGCUCCCCUAGUGGUCGGGACGUUUAUUGGGCCUAAAGUAUCCGUAGCCGGUUUUGUAGGUCCCCUGUUAAAUCCAACGGCUUAACCGUUGGUCUGCAGGGUAUACCAUAUGACUAGGAGGCGGGAGAGGUGGACGGUACUCCAAGGGUAGGGGUAAAAUCCUUUGAUCCUUGGAAGACCACCAGUGGCGAAGGCGGUCCACCAUAACGCGCUCGACGGUGAGGGAUGAAAGCUGGGGGAGCGAACCGGAUUAGAUACCCGGGUAGUCCCAGCUGUAAACGAUGCGAGCUAGGUGAUGGGGUGGCUGCGAGCCAUCCCAGUGCCCCAGGGAAGCCGUUAAGCUCGCCGCCUGGGAAGUACGGCCGCAAGGCUGAAACUUAAAGGAAUUGGCGGGGAGCACCACAAGGGGUGAAGCCUGCGGUUC